UACGUAGGCAGCAAGCGUUGUCCGGAAUUAUUGGGCGUAAAGAGCUUGUAGGCGGUUUGUCGCGUCUGCUGUGAAAUUUCGGGGCUCAACCCCGAACUUGCAGUGGGUACGGGCAGACUAGAGUGUGGUAGGGGAGACUGGAAUUCCUGGUGUAGCGGUGAAAUGCGCAGAUAUCAGGAGGAACACCGAUGGCGAAGGCAGGUCUCUGGGCCACUACUGACGCUGAGAAGCGAAAGCAUGGGGAGCGAACAGG
rnacentral:rRNA from 1 species